UUCUGCAGACUUGGCUGGUGGGGUUUCCACCCUUUUUUUUUUUUUUAAACACACACCCGCCCACUUCUGAACUCUUCUGUACUCCAACUUUCCUGCGCAAGAACCACGCUUUUCUAACCGUUUCUCUUUCCAUCUGCCACUACCGGAUACAGAGGUUGUGGUUGAGAAGUCCCCCUGGAGUGCAAGGAAAACUCCCUGAUGUGAAAUGAUGGCCUGGCCCAACACUGUCGGGGAUGGUGACCAAAUAGGGCAGAACUGUGUUGAAAUCUUGGCUGGCUGCGCCGCCGCUGGAUAGCUGGGUGGCCUCUCUGAGCCUGCCGCGGGGCAUUUGUCCCUGGGGAGAGUCCCUGUCUUGUUGGCCUUUGCGAGCCCUGUACCCAUGGAUGGCCUGUUUAGCAAAGAUUAUUCCAAAACAGGAAGAAUUGCUGGGGAAGAAACUGCCCAUGGGAAACUGCCCUCCGAAUCCUCAGUGCUGGUCCCUUAUUGGGAGCAAAGUUGGAGGUCUCUUGCUGCUGUUGCUGUCUCCUGGGUGAGCCCCUACAGACUGAAUGGGUAGAUGUUACUUGGGCCCUUUAAUGAAAGGUUUUGCCCCUCAUCACAGUAACCCAUGCUCUUUGUGAAAAAAAAAAAAAACAAUUAAAUAGAGAAAACACCAAAAAGAUACCUAAACCCUAAGAAUUGCUUGCAAUCUCUAGCACAUUAAAGUUAUUUACCUUUAGCCCUUUUUAUGCAUUUACGAAUAUUUGCUUUAUACUCUUGAGAUUUUACUGAAUAUGUGAUUUCAAGUGCUGAGCUUUUACGACCAAACAUUAUGUCAUGAACAUUUUCUAAUAUAAAAGUAGAAAAGCUGUUUAAUUCAUUUUAAUUACUAGGUUGUUUCAUUUUCUUUGCUAGUUGAAUAGUGCUGUGAUAAACCAUAUGAACAUAAAUAUCUGGAUUUCAUAAUUUUGUCCUUACUGUAUAUUCUGGCAAGCAGAAUUACUCAAUCAAAGGUUAGGAGUACAGUUAAAGCUUUUGAUACAUUCAUAAGUUGUGGCUAUAACCUUUACUUCUUCCAAAUCAAGAGUACCAGUGCUUAUCUCAGAGUUUCUUGCCAGAAUUAAACAGUAAAUUUAAAAUCAUAGUUAAUUCUGCACAUGAGAAACAUACGUUGUUAUUUGUGUUAGCAUAUUCUUUGAUUACCAGAAAGGCUGAACAUGCUGUCACAUGCUUAUUUACAAAUCUCAGGUUCUUUUAGGUUAAUAUUUUGUUCACACUGUUUCCUCAUUUGGAGGUGUGAUGGUUAAUACAGAGUGUCAACUUGAGGAGAUUGAGGGAUGCAAAGUAUUAAUCCUGGUGUGUCUGUGUGAGUGUUGCCAAAAGAGAUUAACAUUUGAAUUACUGAGCUGGAGAAGGCAAAUCCAUCCUUAAUCUGGUGGGCAAAAUCUAAUUAGCUUCCAGGGAAUAUAAAGCAGGCAGAAAAACGUGAAAAGGAGAGCUGGGCCUAGCCUCCGAGACUACGUCUUUCUCUCAUGCCUGAUGUUUCCUGCCCUGAAACACUGGACUCCGAGUUCUUC
rnacentral:lncRNA from 13 species